UUUUGAAUGAAUCGUUCGUGAAUGACACAACACUAGUUCCCAACAUAAAUAACCUCCAUGAAAAUAACCGUUACAAACUGAAACCAACAGGCUCCACCCUGAAAAAACAACCCGUACUCAGACUGUGGAUCAGAGACCAGACCGAGUUCCUUCAUCCUGCGUCGGCGUGAGGGUGGGCCCGUCAGCCUGUGAUUGGAGGAUCCUGGUGGUUUUCUCAGAGACCUGUACACCCAGAUCAGUCCUGAAACACUGGAGUCCAUUAUGGCGGCUAUAAAGAGCUAAUGACCCGACAGAGGGAUGGAUGAGCCGGGCUCGCUCUCCUUGAAAGGCCGAAGGAUGAGGAGUCAUUAGAGCGGCGUUAUCUGGCGCAGAUAGCAUUGGCAGGUCUGCACAGAUCAUUAUUUUUGGCCCUGGAGCCGUUUGGCAGAGCGGAGCGGGGCUAACUGCUCAGCCAGCGCUAACUCCAGGGUCAGCUAGCACAGGGAUGAAGACGCUAACGAUACGCCGCCUGGCAGCUACUGCUUCCUGUAAAGGUUCCUAAUGAGCGCAGAGAGCUGAGCGGCGCUGUUUGUCUUUGUGCUCCGUCAGUCUGGACUUAGGCGGGCUCUCCUCUCUCUGUUUGUUUGAGCCUGUUAGCAUGCAGACAGUUAUGAGGAUAAAUCUGAGGGACUUGAACAAACAGCAGACCGACCCGAGGGACGACAGGAGGUCAUAGGUUAUUAUUUCUAUCAUAGAUUCUUGUGUUUUUAGUAACAGCAACCAGGAACCUUUGACCUCCACAGGAACCUGUCAGCCAAUCACAGUCUACUAAAUCUUUUUCCACUGUCUGAAACAUCACACCGUCAACCUUUAAAUUCAGAGACUUUUUACCUUUUUAUGACGUUAAUAUUUAUAACAAAAUCAAACAUUUACAUUAAACUGUCAUUACCUCUUAUCUGCUCAGUUUAUGUCUACGUAGGUCCUGUGAGUGUCUAUUCUAUUCUCUUCUGUUCUUGUACAGUCAUUCAUUCUAUUCUAGUCUGUUCUAUUAUCUUUUAUUCUAUUCUAUUUUCUUGUUUUAUUAUAUAUUUUCUAUUUUGUCCAAUUCUAUUUUAUAUUCUUCUAUUCUAUUGUUUUUCUUCUACUCUGUUCUUGUGUUGCAAUUCAUUCUAUUCUGUUCUAUUCUAUCAUCUUUUAUUCUAUUUUCUUGUUUUAUUCUAUUCUUUUCAAUUCUGUUCCCUUCUAUUUAUUUUCUUCCAUUCCGUUCCAUUUUCUUGUUUUUUUCUACAUUUUCUAUUCUGUUCUUUUCUAUACUCUUAUUUUCUGUGCUGUUAUUCACAGUUCUACUCUAAUCUGUUUUAUUCUAUUUGUUCCUGUUCUGUUCUUUUUACUUCUGUUCUAUUUUUCUUCUAUUCUAUUCUAUUCUAUACUAUACUGUUCUAAUCUACACUGUUCUGUUCUAUUCUAUACUGGUUUGUUCUGAUACAUUAAAAGGGGAGCAAUAUUUUCAGCUUUGACUUGAUUGUGUUUCACUCCGAUUCAGUCGCCAUGGUUACCUGCACACAAACCAGUAGAGGAUGUAGUAUGACCGCCGGACUGUUGAGAUGAUGAGGACAGACGUCUCACCGCUGACCUGAGUUUGACCGCAGAGUUUGAUGAAGAAGUUUGAGGAGUUCCAGACGUUGUGAGAGACCUGCAGCAGAGUCAGGUCCAGGUCUGAGGGUCGGACCUGAUGCUGUUUGAGACCUGCAGCAGAGUCUGGUCCAGGUCUGAGGGUCGGACCAGGCUUCACCCUGACUCACCUGGAUCACAGGUGUGUCGCUCUUAUCUGUG